rnacentral:rRNA from 1 species
UACGUAGGGUGCAAGCGUUGUCCGGAAUUAUUGGGCGUAAAGAGCUCGUAGGCGGUUCGUCGCGUCGGCUGUGAAAUCCCGAGGCUCAACCUCGGGUCUGCAGUCGAUACGGGCGGACUGGAGUUCGGCAGGGGAGACUGGAAUUCCUGGUGUAGCGGUGAAAUGCGCAGAUAUCAGGAGGAACACCGGUGGCGAAGGCGGGUCUCUGGGCCGAUACUGACGCUGGAUAGCGCGAAAGCCAGGGGAGCAAACGGG